rnacentral:rRNA from 1 species
AUGGAUCACAGCAUAGUGGACAAUUGCGUCGACGCAAAUCCGACAAUGGAGAAAUCAAUUCCUCCUUGGAAGAGAAGUUUCCAACUGCCCACAAACGAGAGACAGGGGGCAGAGGCAGAGGAAAUUGAAAACCUCCAUGUUCAGAUCAGUCCUCUCAAAUGUAAGCUGAACAAGGUACCGUAUUAUCGUUCUAUAUGCGAUGAAAGGCAGCAGGUUGAGGUCUACCGCCGGCUCUCCCGGUACUACAUCCAAGCCCAUGAGUUACCCUCGCCCGGAGAGGAACCAGAUAAUGCACAACUGAGCAAGGAAUUGGAGCGUUGUCUGGAUGCUUAUGAAAUAAAUUUCCUCCAGCGCGCCAAAGACAAUCCUGAAUGGUACUUCCAUCCUGAACAAUGCAAGCUUGCCGGCUUGGAAGACUACCAGCGGCUAGUGCUUCGUGAUCAUGGUAUGUAUGGAGAUUUGAAGCAAUACCGCCUGUAUUAUCAUACCUACCAGGGAGAUGUAGAGUAUGUCCAGUUCCGUGAGCAGAUGGCGGAGCAAAUUAAGUGGAUUGACGACGAAGCAGCACUCUUCGGCGAUCAGGAGCAUCUAUAUAGCCUUCGGUUUGACUUUAACCACCGGAAGGACUUGGACGGUGUCUAUCUUGAGAUAUGGAAACGGGUUGCUAGGAAUAAGAUGAACUUCGGUGACGCUUUGAAGCAAUUGUAUGAAGAGAACAUUUUCCCCUUCCGCAGGCCUGACAUCAAAUUAGCACUCGAUAGCUAUCCAGGCCCCAGUUGGAUAAAUUCUUGUUAUGAUACCUACGUGGCUGGCAUUGAUGAGGGGUUCUCAGAAGACGAAGCUCAUCCCUUGAUCAUAGAGGCCGUUGAGAAAAUGGUUGAGAAACGGAAGAACUAUUUGGAUUACACCAGAAAGAAAUUGGAAAUCGCAGCACGUAUAGGUUUGAAAAUGAGCAGCCUAGAGGUCACUGCACAAGGCAGGAAAAACCAUGGUGAUGGGAAGGCUGCGAUAGCCAUACACUUUGGAGCAGAUGUAUUCGUCUUUCUGCCGGUGAGUGCCAGAGUCCAAUUCACCUUGGCUUCUCUGGAGCAGAUUGACUACUUCACUACUUGA